GACGAACGCUGGCGGCGUGCCUAAUACAUGCAAGUAGAACGCACAGUUUAUACCGUAGCUUGCUACACCAUAGACUGUGAGUUGCGAACGGGUGAGUAACGCGUAGGUAACCUGCCUGGUAGCGGGGGAUAACUAUUGGAAACGAUAGCUAAUACCGCAUAAUAUUUAUUAUUGCAUGAUAAUUAAUUGAAAGGUGCAAUUGCACCACUACCAGAUGGACCUGCGUUGUAUUAGCUAGUAGGUGAGGUAACGGCUCACCUAGGCGACGAUACAUAGCCGACCUGAGAGGGUGAUCGGCCACACUGGGACGGAGACACGGCCCAGACUCCUACGGGAGGCAGCAGUAGGGAAUCUUCGGCAAUGGACGAAAGUCUGACCGAGCAACGCCGCGUGAGUGAAGAAGGGUUUCGGAUCGUAAAGCUCUGUUGUAAGAGAAGAACGGGUGUGAGAGUGGAAAGUUCACACUGUGACGGUAUCUUACCAGAAAGGGACGGCUAACUACGUG
rnacentral:rRNA from 1 species